rnacentral:rRNA from 1 species
GCUCGUAGGCGGUCUGUCGCGUCGGCUGUGAAAACCCGGAGCUCAACUCCGGGCCUGCAGUCGAUACGGGCAGACUGGAGUUCGGCAGGGGAGACUGGAAUUCCUGGUGUAGCGGUGAAAUGCGCAGAUAUCAGGAGGAACACCGGUGGCGAAGGCGGGUCUCUGGGCCGAUACUGACGCUGAGGAGCGAAAGCGUGGGGAGCGAACAGGAUUAGAUACCCUGGUAGUCCACGCCGUAAACGUUGGGCGCUAGGUGUGAGGGCCAUUCCACGGUUUCCGUGCCGCAGCUAACGCAUUAAGCGCCCCGCCUGGGGAGUACGGCCGCAAGGCUAAAACUCAAAGGAAUUGACGGGGGCCCGCACAAGCGGCGGAGCAUGUUGCUUAAUUCGAUGCAACGCGAAGAACCUUACCUAGGCUUGACAUGCACGGAAAUCUCGCAGAGAUGCGGGGUCCGUAAGGGUCGUGCACAGGUGGUGCAUGGUUGUCGUCAGCUCGUGUCGUGAGAUGUUGGGUUAAGUCCCGCAACGAGCGCAACCCUCGUUCCAUGUU